CCUACGGGUGGCAGCAGUGAGGAAUAUUGGUCAAUGGGCGGAAGCCUGAACCAGCCAAGUCGCGUGAGGGAUGACGGCCCUAUGGAUUGUAAACCGCUUUUGUCCGGGGAUAACACCCUCCACUUGUGGAGGUCUGAGGGUACCGUGCGAAUAAGGGCCGGCUAAUUCCGUGCCAGCAGCCGCGGUAAUACGGAAGGCGCGAGCGUUAUCCGGAUUCAUUGGGUUUAAAGGGUGCGUAGGCGGGCGUUCAAGUCAGCGGUAAAAUGGCGAGGCUCAACCGCGUCGAGCAGUUGAAACUGGUCGCCUUGAGUGCACAAGAGGCAGGCGGAAUGCGUGGUGUAGCGGUGAAAUGCAUAGAUAUCACGAGGAACCCCGAUUGCGAAGGCAGCAUGCCGGGGUGCAACUGACGCUGAGGCUCGAAGGUGCGGGUAUCAAACAGGAUUAGAUACCCGGGUAGUC
rnacentral:rRNA from 1 species